GACGAACGCUGGCGGCGUGCUUAACACAUGCAAGUCGAACGGAAAGGCCCUGCUUUUGUGGGGUGCUCGAGUGGCGAACGGGUGAGUAACACGUGAGUAACCUGCCCUUGACUUUGGGAUAACUUCAGGAAACUGGGGCUAAUACCGGAUAGGAGCUCCUGCUGCAUGGUGGGGGUUGGAAAGUUUCGGCGGUUGGGGAUGGACUCGCGGCUUAUCAGCUUGUUGGUGGGGUAGGGGCUGACCAAGCCUUUGACGGGUAGCCGGCCUGAGAGGGUGGCCGGCCACAUUGGGACUGAGGUACGGCCCAGACUCCUACGUGAGGCAGCGGUGGGAAGUAUUGCACAAUGGGCGGAAGCCUGAUGCAGCAACGCCGCGUGCGGAAUGACGGCCUUCGGGUUAUAAACCGCUUUCGCCUGUGACGAAGCGUUAGUGACGGUAAUGGGUAAAUAAGCACCGGCUAACUACGUG
rnacentral:rRNA from 1 species